rnacentral:tRNA from 1 species
GCGUGUUAGGUCACGGCGACCGCGAGAACUCCAAAUCCUCGGGACUAGGUUCGAUUCCUAGAACACGCGCCA